GACGUAGGGCGCGAGCGUUGUCCGGAUUUAUUGGGCGUAAAGAGCUCGUAGGCGGCUUGUCGCGUCGAAUGUGAAAUCUCAGGGCUCAACUCUGACAUUGCAUUCGAUACGGGCAGGCUAGAGUUCGGUAGGGGAGACUGGAAUUCCAGGUGUAGCGGUGAAAUGCGUAGAUAUUGGGAAGAACACCGGUGGCGAAGGCGGCUCACUGGCUCGAUAUCUGACGCUCAGGCGCGACAGCGUGGGGAUCAAACAGG
rnacentral:rRNA from 1 species